GACGAACGCUGGCGGCGUGCCUAAUACAUGCAAGUAGAACGCUGAAGAGAGGAGCUUGCUCUUCUUGGAUGAGUUGCGAACGGGUGAGUAACGCGUAGGUAACCUGCCUUGUAGCGGGGGAUAACUAUUGGAAACGAUAGCUAAUACCGCAUAACAAUGGAUGACACAUGUCAUUUAUUUGAAAGGGGCAAUUGCUCCACUACAAGAUGGACCUGCGUUGUAUUAGCUAGUAGGUGAGGUAAUGGCUCACCUAGGCGACGAUACAUAGCCGACCUGAGAGGGUGAUCGGCCACACUGGGAAUGAGACACGGCCCAGACUCCUACGGGAGGCAGCAGUAGGGAAUCUUCGGCAAUGGGGGCAACCCUGACCGAGCAACGCCGCGUGAGUGAAGAAGGUUUUCGGAUCGUAAGGCUCUGUUGUAAGUCAAGAACUGGUGUGAGAGUGGAAAGUUCACACUGUGACGGUAGCUUACCAGAAAGGGACGGCUAACUACGUG
rnacentral:rRNA from 1 species